AAAAUAAAGAAGACACUAGAAGAAAAAACCUUCAAAAGAGAAAUAUCUUAGAGAACUGCUAGAGUGGCCAAGACUGGGUCCAUGGAAGAAAAGGGUAUAUACCAACUAUCUCAGAUAAGAAAACUGAAGCCCAGAGAUGUCUUUCUCCAGCAUUAGGCUUUUCUGUAAUCAUUCAUUUUGGCAGAAGUCCGCAGAAGGCCGCAGAACUCCGCAGAAGGCCGCAGAACUCCGCAGAAGGCCGCAGAACUCCGCAGAAGUCCGCACACAGUAAGGAAGUUGCCUCCGCGUCCAGCCCGCUGAUUGAGCAGGCCGAGAGCCAAUGCGCAAAGAAGGUCCGUUUCCGUUUGUUUUCCUCAUACUUUUCCUUCUUUCUGACCAGUAAGCCACAGAGUUAUGGAAAAGGCUGGGGAAGAAUCUGUGGCCGAGUCCUUCUUCCCACAGGUCCACUAAUUAUGGAGAACCAAAGUUUUUUCUUAAAACUGACGGGACAAUCGAUGAACCUGACCACUGCAGACAUGGACUUCCCUAAACUUCAAUCUGUGGAGAGAGGCCUCAGAGUCUUCACUCGCUAUUUCAUUUUCAGGCUCCUUCCAGCAAAAUAAAAGUAAAAACAACAGCUAUUUGAUGGCUCAUUGCCUUUGUU
rnacentral:lncRNA from 1 species